rnacentral:lncRNA from 1 species
CUCCCAACUGCCUUCAGACUGGCGCUGCUGGACUUAAACAGAUUUUUGCUCAACUCUGAAAGUGUUUGCUCUUGCCUCAGUUUCCCUUUUAACAGGAGAUACUAUAGCACAGUUCCUGGCUCAGCAAAUGUUACCUAUUUUUAAUGCCCAUGUCUGUGAUCUUUUAAAAAAAUGUACACAAACAUUUAUAUAGCAGUUUCAAAAGUAAACGUAAUAGUUACAGUAUUCACAACAACAAACAUGCACACACACAGAAGCAUGGAAGGGAGGAACUGCAUUAAAAUCAUAACUGUGCUUACUUUCAGAGUGGAUUAUUGCUGAUCCAUCUUUCUACCAUGCUUGUCUUUAUUCCUACAGUGAACAUGAAUUACUUUUGUAAUAAGAAACACAUUAUUCUUUACAGAGCUGCAGGAAUCAAUCCCAAGAAGAUCUGCUAUCUGUCCUUUUUCUCAUACCUCCUCAAACAUGGAUUCAAGAAGCUCCAACAUCAGCCCUUGUUCUCACUGCCCCCGACCCCCGCCAUGUGGAUUCAUUUAAAUUGGGGACUUUAUGGCCACCCCUCCUGGUUCUUUCUGGGCAGAGGGAGAAGCACAUUUGCAUUCUGGAUGGCUCAAGAGACCAGGCUUUUGUUCUCAUUUUCAUGA